rnacentral:tRNA from 8 species
GCACCGGUAGCUCAGUUGGAUAGAGCAUCUGGCUACGAACCAGGAGGUCGGGGGUUCGAAUCCUCCCCGGUGCGCCA